rnacentral:tmRNA from 14 species
GAAUUAGAUAGCUCUAGCUGCAUGCCGACUUGUGUUAUGUCGUAAAACUAGCAUAUAAAUAUAAACGCAAACAACGCAAAUUACGCUCCUGCUUACGCUAAAGUUGCGUAAGUUUAAUUAGCUUUUGGAGCUGUUUUUGAACAAGGAUUCUAGCGACUUUUCAAAAACAUCAUUUUAGCUAGAUGCGCCUUGCACUACCGAAUGCAAGUUUAAGUUUAGGUUGCCUUGAAGCAUUAUUUUUGGAAGUUUGGUGUUUUUAAGAAAGAUUUAAAAUCCAAAUAAGCAUGUAUAUCGGCUGUUGUUGGUCUAGUUU